rnacentral:rRNA from 1 species
ACUCCUACGGGAGGCAGCAGUGGGGAAUAUUGCACAAUGGGCGCAAGCCUGAUGCAGCAACGCCGCGUGAGGGACGACGGCCUUCGGGUUGUAAACCUCUUUUAGUAGGGAAGAAGCGAAAGUGACGGUACCUGCAGAAAAAGCACCGGCUAACUACGUGCCAGCAGCCGCGGUAAUACGUAGGGUGCAAGCGUUAUCCGGAAUUAUUGGGCGUAAAGAGCUCGUAGGCGGUUUGUCGCGUCUGCUGUGAAAACUGGAGGCUCAACCUCCAGCCUGCAGUGGGUACGGGCGGACUAGAGUGCGGUAGGGGAGAUUGGAAUUCCUGGUGUAGCGGUGGAAUGCGCAGAUAUCAGGAGGAACACCGAUGGCGAAGGCAGAUCUCUGGGCCGUAACUGACGCUGAGGAGCGAAAGCAUGGGGAGCGAACAGGAUUAGAUACCCUGGUAGUCCAUGCCGUAAACGUUGGGAACUAGAUGUAGGGUCCAUUCCACGGAUUCUGUGUCGCAGCUAACGCAUUAAGUUCCCCGCCUGGGGAGUACGGCCGCAAGGCUAAAACUCAAAGGAAUUGACGGGGGCCCGCACAAGCGGCGGAGCAUGCGGAUUAAUUCGAUGCAACGCGAAGAACCUUACCAAGGCUUGACAUAUACCGGAAAAGUUCAGAAAUGUUCUCCCCGCAAGGUCGGUAUACAGGUGGUGCAUGGUUGUCGUCAGCUCGUGUCGUGAGAUGUUGGGUUAAGUCCCGCAACGAGCGCAACCCUCGUUCUAUGUUGCCAGCACGUAAUGGUGGGAACUCAUAGGAGACUGCCGGGGUCAACUCGGA